AGAUUGAACGCUGGGGCAUGCUUUACACAUGCAAGUCAACGGUAACAGGUCUUCGGAUGCUGACGAGUGGCGAACGGGUGAGUAAUGUAUCGGAACGUGCCCAGUAGUGGGGGAUAACUACUCGAAAGAGUGGCUAAUACCGCAUGAGAACUGAGGUUGAAAGCGGGGGACCUUCGGGCCUCGCGCUACUGGAGCGGCCGAUAUCAGAUUAGGUAGUUGGUGGGGUAAAGGCCUACCAAGCCGACGAUCUGUAGCUGGUCUGAGAGGACGACCAGCCACACUGGGACUGAGACACGGCCCAGACUCCUACGGGAGGCAGCAGUGGGGAAUUUUGGACAAUGGACGCAAGUCUGAUCCAGCAAUGCCGCGUGCAGGACGAAGGCCUUCGGGUUGUAAACUGCUUUUGUACAGAACGAAAAGGCUCUGGUUAAUACCUGGGGCUCAUGACGGUACUGUAAGAAUAAGCACCGGCUAACUACGUG
rnacentral:rRNA from 1 species